CGAAGGGGGCUAGCGUUGUUCGGAAUUACUGGGCGUAAAGGGCGCGUAGGCGGUACUUCAAGUCAGGCGUGAAAGCCCCGGGCUCAACCUGGGAACCGCGCUUGAGACUGGAGAACUAGAGUUCGGGAGAGGAUGGUGGAAUUCCCAGUGUAGAGGUGAAAUUCGUAGAUAUUGGGAAGAACACCGAUGGCGAAGGCAGCCAUCUGGACCGACACUGACGCUGAGGCGCGAAAGCGUGGGGAGCAAACAGGAUUAGAUACCCUGGUAGUCCACGCCGUAAACGAUGAGUGCUAGACGUUGGGGUCCUUAGGGCUUCGGUGUCGCAGCUAACGCAUUAAGCACUCCGCCUGGGGAGUACGGCCGCAAGGUUA
rnacentral:rRNA from 1 species